CCUACGGGAGACAGCAGUGGGGAAUAUUGCACAAUGGGGGAAACCCUGAUGCAGCGACGCCGCGUGAGGGAAGAAGUAAUUCGGUAUGUAAAGCUCUAUCAGCAGGGAAGAAAAUGACGGUACCUGAGUAAGAAGCCCCGGCUAACUACGUGCCAGCAGCCGCGGUAAUACGUAGGGGGCAAGCGUUAUCCGGAUUUACUGGGUGUAAAGGGAGCGUAGACGGCAGUGCAAGUCUGGAGUGAAAGGCGGGGGCUCAACCCCCGGACUGCCCUGGAAACUGUACGGCUGGAGUGCAGGAGAGGUAAGUGGAAUGCCUAGUGUAGCGGUGAAAUGCGUAGAUAUUAGGAGGAACACCAGUGGCGAAGGCGGCUUACUGGACUGUAACUGACGUUGAGGCUCGAAAGCGUGGGGAGCAAACAGGAUUAGAUACCCGUGUAGUC
rnacentral:rRNA from 1 species